GAUUCCCCCCACCCCCAAAAAUCCCGCCUAAAAUCUCUUCUUCUUUUUUCCCCAUUUUAUUUUUUCCCAAACCAUAUUGUUGCAAACUUGUAAGAAGAUUCAAAAGAAAUUGAAGAUAAGAGGAUACAGCUUGAAGACGGAUGGUCUUGAUGAGAUUCUCUCCUUCGUCAAUCGCUUCCAAGAUGCUGAAGAUGAGGCUAUUGAUCUCCUCCUCGACUAGCUCGAUCACCAAUCCUGUAAUUUUCUUUAUUUAUGCUUUUCUAGGGUUUUCCUUAUUUUUUUAAUAUUCUAUUAGUAUUUUUUUUAAUUGUAAGUAGUGAAUUCUUCCAUAAUCGACAAGGAGGCGGUGCACCAAGUAGUCAGUCUUCUAUUGGAUGCUAAAGCAACUGAGGAGGAGAUCUGCUUGAAUAUGCGGAUGUAAUUCUUGCAAAAAUCUCCUUGUUGAAAAUCUAGAGACUUAAUUCGUUACGGAACACUUUGAUAAUUAGUAAAAGCAAGUAAGGAGGGAAAGACUGAUGCUGGCUUUUUUUGUUUCUGACCACCUAAAAUUUCAUCCAUGAUCCUCAGUCAACGUUUGUUUCUAUGUCUAUACACCACUGUGUUACAAGCUCCUUGGAUAGUAUUAUUUUUCUAAAAAAGUAUUGCAAUCCUUAUAACAUUCAUUCUAUGGCUUUCUGUCUAAUAUGUUGGUCAGUUUCCUUUCUUUAGAUCAUGAUUUAUGAAUGAAAAGCAAUUCAUUCUUACUAAGGUGUACUGAUUUUCAGUGUUUGUUUACAGACCCUGGUUUUGAUAUAUGGGGCAUCAGUUAAUUUGAAUGUAAAGAAAAUGGAUCAAUACAGGAAUUUUAAGACUUGUACUGAAGUUCUAUUGGAGGUCUUGUAGAUUCGUUGAUUUUAGAUGAUAAGAGAUGGACGCAACUUGUAGAAGUUGCAGUUGCGAAUGUUGAUUAUUUUCUGGCUGAUAUUCUAUCAUUCUUACGAUGAGAAGUCUAUUCCUGUCAGUAUCAUACAUUUCUUGCUACAGUCUAGCAGUAAACCAUAUAUGCAAGCUAGUGAUCAAGCCUAUGCCAGUACGGUAGACACCUCUAUUUGGAGGUUGCUAGAACUACAUUGACAAAUUGUUGAUUGUCAUCUGCUACAACUGCAAGAAUGCAAAGGUAUAAAAUUUCGAAGGAGCUUGGAGGUGGUACAUGUGGUAGUGUGUUCAAAGCCUUCAAUAUAGAAACAUUUGAGAUUGUAAGGAACUUGAUCCAGUAGUUGCUUUUUUUAUCUUUCUGUUUACAUAACUACAUGAUUUAUUUUAUUUAUCAUUAAGAUAUAUUCUUCUCAUUUGUUCCUCAUGUAUGGUAGAACUUAAUUCAAUGAUUAAUAUUAUAUACUUUGCUGCAGUUAAAAAAUUUCCUUUGACGUGUAGGAAAUUCAACUUAAGUCUUGUACCUCACCUAUUUAAGUUAAUUUAAUGAUUAAUGUUGUAUGCUUAGCUUCACUUAGAAGUUUUCUUUUAACAUGAGGAAAGUCAGCACAAGUCUUAUGUGAUGAUUGAAAUGACCUCAAUGCCUUGGAGAUAGCAAAUGAUGAAUAUAGGAUCAAUUUUGAAGUCACUUUCUGAACCAUUACGUGAAUUCUUUGUUUUUAAUUGGUCAGUCUUUCAUGUACCUACUGCUAAUUUCUGGAGGUUACCUUAAAGCUUAUAUCUAAUUUCCUGUAUACCUUUUUCUAUAUGUAUAUACAUUUGAAAUGAGAUCCUAUUCGAUUUCAACAAUACAGUUUAUGGUUGGACAGCUAUCCUCUUUCUCUGCCUUAUAUCUGUCUUAUUUUUAUGUGUUGAAACUGCUUUGAUCUUUCUUUUUAUUGUAUAUUAGACGGAGAAAGCAUUUCUCAAACAACCCAAGGUGUUUUUAAGGUGAACUAGCUUCUUCCAUUGUUAUAUAUGUUUUACUUUGUUGCUAAUUCAUCUUACUCAGACCAUUGUUAUAGAAUGUGAAAAGCCAAUGAAGCCAGGAGUUCUCACUCCUGGACGUGUUCGUCUUUUGCUUCAUAGAGGUCUGUGGACUUUGAAAUAUUUUUCAGAGGGAACUCUGGUUGGAACCUGGACACAUCAAAUUACAAGUUUACAAGUUUGUUUCUAGUAGCACAUGUGGAAAAUAUAAUUGCCUUAAUUAAGUUCAUCCACUUAUAAAACCUUUGCUAUAUAUUAUCUGGAAAAGGGGGAAUCUAUUUUUGUGGCGGCACAUACAUCUGCUGGAAAGACAGUUGUAGCAGAAUAUGCAUUUGCUUUGGCAUCAAAAUUACGUUAGCUAUUUUGGUCUUUUGCUUGUAAAUCUAUAGAUGUUUUGAUUUUUUGUUAGCUGGAGAUGUGACAAAUUGCUCACAUUGAUUAAAAACCUCAGGCCAUAUCUUUUUUAUUUUCAAGUUUCUGAAGUUCUAUGCCGAAUUUGGUUUAGUUUCAAGAUUUUUGAUAAGUUUUCAUGUCAUGCAGCAUUGCACUAGAGCUGUGUAUACUGCUCCAAUUAAAACAAUUAGCAACCAGAAGUAUAGAGAUUUCUGUGGGAAGUUUGAUGUUGGCCUUCUCACAGGUGAUGUUAGUUUGAGACCAGAGGCUUCUUGUCUCAUCAUGACAACUGAAUUGUUAAGGUCAAUGCUUUAUCGAGGUGCAGAUAUUAUUCGUGAUAUUGAAUGGGUGAAGGGGUUGCUAUUUGUAGCAUUACUUUACAUAGUAGUUUCAUUACUUUUUCUGCUGAACGCUCUUGUUAGUUCUUUUGUCUAAUUUGUGAACAUGAUAUUUAAGAUGUUUCUUUC